rnacentral:lncRNA from 1 species
GUAGGUCUUGAGACCAGACCCUCCCAGGCACUAAACCAUUUCCAAUACAUUCACAACAGCAAACAGGCUAAGACUCCCCAACAUAAAAUCAGCUGUGUCCAUUCAGCCUUCUUACAUACAUGAAGAAACAUCAUGCACCCCUAAAAAAUGGGGACAGCAAAUGGUACUCUAGGGUUGCCCUAAAUGUGGGGUAUGUGUUCCCCUUGUUGAGCAUGAGUGGAAUGGUAUACAAGGUUGGAGGGAAGAAGUGCCAUGAAGGGUCAGAAAUGCUAUCUCCCCCCGCACAUAUGUUGUAGAGGUAUAUAUUUUGAUCUUUGUGUGGCUCCCAAACAAUGGAGCAGGGGCUAAACCAAAAGCUGUUGCCUGUAUGUGAGAUAUGUUCUUCUCAUUGGGCUGCCUUGUCUGACCUCAGUGGGAAAGGUUGCACCUAGCCUCACAGAGACUUGAUGUGUCAAGGUUGGGGGAUACCCAAGGGUGCCCCACCACUCGGAGGAGAAGGGGAGGGGAAAGGAUUGUGGGAGAGGAUGAGAGGGAAGGGUCAGUGAGUGGGAUGUAAAGUGAAUAAGUAAAAUAAUAAUGAUAAUAAUAAUAAUAAUAAUAGUGAUAAUGAUGACAAAUAAAUAAAAAGAAAGAAAUGCUACCUCCCACCACUGAGGUGACCACAGUAUCAUCUGGGUGUCAGUGGUUUUUGGAUAAUGAUGUCAUCACAGACAUAGCAUGGCUGUGAUGCUCAACAUCAAAUCCUAUAACAGAACAAUGCCCUCAAUAUGGUUUAUCAGGACCAGAUGGGUAGCUGCCACCCUCUCAGCCCCAAUAGGGCCUCUAUCCCAGAGUACCCCAAUAGUACUCAGGCCUGAGAAAUGUCCCGUGUCUCUAAGGUUAAAAGCCCAGGAAACCGACUGUGGGUAUGGCCUAGCAUGUAGAUCAUACCCAACAGGGAGGAAGUUUCUGUCCCAGCCCUUGACUCUUGCCCUCCUCUCCUCAUGACACAGGUACAAAGAACAGCUUCCAGACCCUGAAGAUGAGAUUGGAAAACAUCACCGACCCCUGGAGCCAGAGAAGCCAGCAGGUCAAGCCCAUCUUCGACAAGACCCAGUACUCCCAGGAGCGCCAGGCUGCCUUCCACUUCAGGCAGACUCUGCCCAAGUACCUGCUUUUUAGCAACACUGGAAAAAGUGUGUUGGGUCGCAGCCACAGCUACCUCCUGCAUGUCCCCUCCAUGGCUGAGCAAAUGCUGCCCCCGGGCUGGCAGAACUCACCAGCUUUCUUGUGGCCCAGGUGAAGACUCAUGCAAAGUGUCGAGGAAGGCCGGGAGCUCCCUCAGUGACCGUGUAUAAUCAUUCUGUCCAAGAGGCCAUGAUUUUGCUGUUCUCUGAGUUUGCCUCCUAAUGCACUGAGGGAGGGAGUGGGGAGUUCAUGGGAAUCCUGGGUGACAGACAGACAGACAGAGAUGGGAGUCUUUCGGGUCCCUGAGAGACUGUCACUCAUUCUGGAACAGCAGCAGUUUCCCCCUCUAUGGAGGGGGAUGGAGCAGAGGCAGUCCUCAUUUCUGAUGCUACUCAUACGCUUCUGCCUGCAGGUACCAGCUGGCAGUGACUAAGUACCAGGAGUCUGAACGGUUCCACAGUAGCCUUUACAACCAGAACCAUCACUGGGCUUACCCUAUGGUCUUUGAGAACUUCAUUCACAACAAUGAAAACAUCGAAGAUGAGGUACAGAUCCGGUCUCCUUUGCCCACCUCUGGUCCUGUCACUAGUCAACGACCAGACUUUGCUGGUCUCAGGAUUGUGGCUGGCUGGGUAGGGCAAGUUCAGAGGUCAGGACAGAUGGGUCCACCUCUUUUAAAUGGGGUUGAGGAUAUCUUGGGAUGUUUAUAAACACAUAUUUAAAAGACACCCUAAUCCCCAAGGUCCUCCAGUAGCCA